GUAUGCCCCCUUGUAGCUGCAGAUACAAGAGGCGUUGCAUUUGAUGGGCCAUAUGUUUGGCUCAGGGUUGGGUCAUGAUCUAGUAGAACUUGGACAAUGGCAUGGUGCCCUUGCACAGCAGCAAUAUGCAACGGAUCAUAGCCUGACCUAUUCUUCCUUGUAAUGCACUCUCUACUCGAAUACUUUAACAACUCCUUUACCACCUCAAGAUG
rnacentral:misc_RNA from 1 species